rnacentral:rRNA from 1 species
GACGAACGUUGGCGGCGUGCUUAAUACAUGCAAGUCAACUGAAGCAGUGGUAGCAAUAUCGCUGUGGAGGUGGCGCACGGGUGAGUAACACGUAGGUAAUCUGCCUUCAGGUCUGGCAUAACUCCGGGAAACCGGGGCUAAUAGCAGAUGAUGCAGCGGCUCGACAUCGAGACAGUUGUUAAAGCUAUGGCGCCUGAAGAUGAGCCUUCGUCUGAUUAGCUAGUUGGCGGGGUAACGGCCCACCAAGGCAACGAUCAGUAGCUGGUCUGAGAGGAUGAUCAGCCACACUGGAACUGAGACACGGUCCAGACUCCUACGGGAGGCAGCAGUAAGGAAUAUUGCUCAAUGGGAGAAAUCCUGAAGCAGCAACGCCGCGUGAGGGACGAAGGGCUUUUGCUUGUAAACCUCUGUAGUGAGAGAAAAAAAUCCCAAUCUUUGGGACAUGAUGGUAUCUCAAAAGUAAGCCCCGGCUAACUACGUG